UCUGUAAGAUUUCAGUCAGAGUCAGUCUGCCUCAGUUGUGAGCAGUGUGUAAUCCCAGUCAAACUGUGUGGAACCAUGUUGUUUGUGAAGAAGUUUAUUUUAAUCCAUACGUGAUCAAUAAUUGCCUGGGACUGUCCAUUUCACUAAUUCCUUGAAGAAGGAGGAAGAAGCGGUCGCUAGGAAGUGUGUAUGUUGAUAUCGCACAGAGGCAAGAGCAAUUUGGGAGGAAAGGACGGCUAACAGGAUUGGGAAAAGAUAUAAUACUCUAAAAGAUGACAUACGUCCAUGCUGUGAGUGACAGGAUUUAUUCCUGCAGUAGAUAAAAAGGAAUGAACUUUCAUCAUCCCAGUCUUGUAACAUGACUCCCCUGGGAUAGGAACAAUCUUUGUAGUGGUACCUCUGGAUGCAAACGGGAAAACGCUCAACCUGAAGCAUAUUUAACCCGAGGUCUUCACCACUCACCUGAAGCACACAGUGAUGGAGCCUGGCAAUGCACAAGGGUCACUUGCUUUUAAGGAGCAGGCUGGUGCUUUGAUGUUUAUAUUGUAACGAUAUGUAUGAAAUCUUUUAUAUGCAUAUAUAUAAAUUUAUCAAUAAUGAUAAUAACAGAGAAAACUUAAACUUAAAUAAAUUACCAGCAUCUCUCUUCCUACAUAUUAAUCUCAGAGCUCUUAUUUGGUCCAUCUUUUCUGAACCUGUUUACUCUCCAUGAUUCACAGGAGCCCCAGAGCUGUACAAAGAAUGAUAUAUGGGACACAUGUCAGCAAGCUUGAUUAAUCUUCAUUGUCCUUAAUCAAACCCCUCAAAGUACCUCAAAAACAUCUCCUUGAAGUUACCCCCCUGCUCUUUGCUGCAUCACACAGAUCACUCUCCCUGGAACAUUCAUACCUGAACAGUGUGUUUGCAUCCCAUAGUGACCUGUCCCCAUUUCAAGUGGCCUCUGUGACCAGGUCUCAAUUGCAUUGCGAGGGAUGAGCAGCCCACACCCAGGGCAGCAAACCAGAACACAAUAUUCAAUGAAGAAGACAUCCCUGACAGCUAGAUGUCUGCUUUGCCUUAUUAAUGGCCUUCUUCAAACACUGCAAAACAGAUCAGCAUGGCACUGGCCCUCCUUUCACCUUGCAAAAGGUGAACACCUGACUUUCUGUACCCCUGACUUACGGUUUGUCUUAUGCCCACUAAGACCAGGCCCUUUAGUUUGGUGUAGGUAUCAGGGUGGGGAGGAUUCAAUUCAGUUUGCAUUUAAAGCCAAAACUAUCAAAUUCACAUUUUUUGAAACAAUAUGGCUACCAAAACACACAGCCACCCUUCCAAGUUCCUAUUUCUCUGAACUCUGAAAUGCAGUUAUCCAGCCAGUGUUUACAAAAAUAUAUAGGCUAGGAGAAAGUCCACAUAAAAAUGAAUGCAUUAUUGAAAAUAACACAGAAAAAUGCAUUGUAUUAGGAGACAUUUAUUGAAAAAUGUGCACAUUAGUCACAUUAGGAGAAAUU